UGCCACAAUGAUGACACUUAUUUGCUACUCUUGACCCAAGAGAAUGAUGAGCACUUUUACCACCAUAACUUUUCCUCUGAGGCA
ensembl:snoRNA SNORD24 Small nucleolar RNA SNORD24